rnacentral:miRNA from 10 species
GGUUGGUACAAAAGUAAUUGCGGCUUUUGGACAUUACUUUUAAAUAGCAAAAACUGCAAUUACUUUCACACCAAUGU